CCUACGGGAGGCAGCAGUGGGGAAUAUUGGGCAAUGGGCGCAAGCCUGACCCAGCAACGCCGCGUGAAGGAAGAAGGCUUUCGGGUUGUAACCUUCUUUUCUGAGGGACGAAGAAAGUGACGGUACCUCAGGAAUAAGCCACGGCUAACUACGUGCCAGCAGCCGCGGGAAUACGUAGGUGGAAAGCGUGAUACGGAUUUAUUGGGUGUACAGGGCGUGUAGGCGGGAAAGCAAGUCAGAUGUGAAAACUCAGGUCUCAACCCUGAGCCGGCAUCUGAAACUGGUUUUCUUGAGUGCUGGAGAGGCAAUCGGAAUUCCGUGUGUAGCGGUGAAAUGCGUAGAUAUACGGAGGAACACCAGUGGCGAAGGCGGAUUGCUGGACAGUAACUGACGCUGAGGCGCGAAAGCGUGGGGAGCAAACAGGAUUAGAUACCCUAGUAGUC
rnacentral:rRNA from 1 species